AGAACGAACGCUGGCGGCAGGCUUAACACAUGCAAGUCGAACGCUGUAGCAAUACAGAGUGGCAGACGGGUGAGUAACACGUGGGAACAUACCCUUCGGUUCGGAAUAACUUGGGGAAACUCAAGCUAAUACCGGAUACGGCAGAGAUGCGAAAGAUUCAUCGCCGGAGGAUUGGCCCGCGUCCGAUUAGCUAGUUGGUGUUGGUAAUGGCUCACCAAGGCGACGAUCGGUAGCUGGUCUGAGAGGAUGGCCAGCCACAUUGGGACUGAGACACGGCCCAAACUCCUACGUGAGGCAGCAGUGGGGAAUAUUGGACAAUGGGCGGAAGCCUGAUCCAGCCAUGCCGCGUGAGUGAUGAAGGCCUUAGGGUUGUAAAGCUCUUUCGCACGCGACGAUAAUGACGGUAGCGUGAGAAGAAGCCCGGCUAACUUCGCGCCAGCAGCCGC
rnacentral:rRNA from 1 species